UCUCAUUUCUGCUUUGGCCAUGAAAUGUUUUCAUUCAUUUCUAUACCUGUUUGGGAAGAAAGCUUAUAGCUGUCCUUCAGUGCCUCAUGGCAUCAAUUCUUCUGCAGAAAGAGAGAGUUUAUGAGAGCAGAUACACAGAAGAUAAAUAGAGACCAUGUCCUUGUAAUGAUGGCAACUGUUACCGGAGUGGAAGAAGCUUCAUUCUGGUGUCCUCAGAGAACAAGAAGCCAACAGCUGGUUGUUUAUUGAAGCACAAUGCAGAACACACUCAUCCGACCCUUACUGACAAAGAAGACUCUGAGUCAGCUGCUGCUGCUGUACUCUGAGCCAACGACUUCAGUGACCUCCCAGUGAUGAUUACAAGAAACCUUUUCUGAGUACUCAGCCUGUUCCACAUUCAAUGUCAUGUAAGUGUGACUAUAAG
ensembl:lncRNA